UCCACCAGUUUGGAAGUAGCAGUGACCAUCAUCUUCUCUGGGUAGAUCAUGGGAGAGAGUGUCCAUCAAAUGAAGAAUUCCAGCAGCCACCAGCUUCUCCACACAUCAGAUGUUGCAAUACUUUGACUUCAAGAAAAGCAAGGCCCUGGGCAGGAGGGAUCCUCAGAGAGACAUGAAUGAACGGCUCUACCCUCAGCACGUCACCUUUGAUACCAGUUGCCUCCCUGAUGGAGCAAAUGCAGAACGUGUUAUGGAAGAAGAUGAGAGAUAAGUUAAUAAAAAUGCCAUACACAUGGGAGGCAUCCCACUCACAUGGAUGGCCUCCAUCUCUGGCUCUCCCUAAUGAUUAAUGAGCACUGAUUAAAAUGUUGGGCUGUGUGUCAACAAUUUAAACCUAUUAAGCCCCAUUAAACCUGAGAAGGAAAA